AAAUAAUUUUUCAACGGGAGGAGACAAUGAUUUGUGAAUUGAUAGGGUUCAUUGGUGAUGUACAACUGGGAUUAUACAUGCCAGAUAUGCUAUGUUGUUGAUAACGGUGUGGUGUUGGCAUUGCGCCGUAUGUGGAAGACACUGGUUCCCAAAAAGGUUUUAUGAUGAAAAGCUCAAUUCCAGCUAGAAAGCUACUGCAGCAUAAACUUUCACUGGACGAUUAGAUUCAAUGCGGUAUUCCAAGAAGAUAAAGAUAUUAUGUCACUGUAUGCACUGGCACACUGCUAUGCAAAA